AUGCUGGAGGUAUCAGAAGUGCGAAUGCUGACAUAAGUAACGAUAAAGCGGGUGAAAAGCCCGCUCGCCGGAAGACCAAGGGUUCCUGUCCAACGUUAAUCGGGGCAGGGUGAGUCGACCCCUAAGGCGAGGCCGAAAGGCGUAGUCGAUGGGAAACAGGUUAAUAUUCCUGUACUUGGUGUUACUGCGAAGGGGGGACGGAGAAGGCUAUGUUGGCCGGGCGACGGUUGUCCCGGUUUAAGCGUGUAGGCUGGUUUUCCAGGCAAAUCCGGAAAAUCAAGGCUGAGGCGUGAUGACGAGGCACUACGGUGCUGAAGCAACAAAUGCCCUGCUUCCAGGAAAAGCCUCUAAGCAUCAGGUAACAUCAAAUCGUACCCCAAACCGACACAGGUGGUCAGGUAGAGAAUACCAAGGCGCUUGAGAGAACUCGGGUGAAGGAACUAGGCAAAAUGGUGCCGUAACUUCGGGAGAAGGCACGCUGAUAUGUAGGUGAAGUCCCUCGCGGAUGGAGCUGAAAUCAGUCGAAGAUACCAGCUGGCUGCAACUGUUUAUUAAAAACACAGCACUGUGCAAACACGAAAGUGGACGUAUACGGUGUGACGCCUGCCCGGUGCCGGAAGGUUAAUUGAUGGGGUUAGCGCAAGCGAAGCUCUUGAUCGAAGCCCCGGUAAACGGCGGCCGUAACUAUAACGGUCCUAAGGUAGCGAAAUUCCUUGUCGGGUAAGUUCCGACCUGCACGAAUGGCGUAAUGAUGGCCAGGCUGUCUCCACCCGAGACUCAGUGAAAUUGAACUCGCUGUGAAGAUGCAGUGUACCCGCGGCAAGACGGAAAGACCCCGUGAACCUUUACUAUAGCUUGACACUGAACAUUGAGCCUUGAUGUGUAGGAUAGGUGGGAGGCUUUGAAGUGUGGACGCCAGUCUGCAUGGAGCCGACCUUGAAAUACCACCCUUUAAUGUUUGAUGUUCUAACGUUGACCCGUAAUCCGGGUUGCGGACAGUGUCUGGUGGGUAGUUUGACUGGGGCGGUCUCCUCCUAAAGAGUAACGGAGGAGCACGAAGGUUGGCUAAUCCUGGUCGGACAUCAGGAGGUUAGUGCAAUGGCAUAAGCCAGCUUGACUGCGAGCGUGACGGCGCGAGCAGGUGCGAAAGCAGGUCAUAGUGAUCCGGUGGUUCUGAAUGGAAGGGCCAUCGCUCAACGGAUAAAAGGUACUCCGGGGAUAACAGGCUGAUACCGCCCAAGAGUUCAUAUCGACGGCGGUGUUUGGCACCUCGAUGUCGGCUCAUCACAUCCUGGGGCUGAAGUAGGUCCCAAGGGUAUGGCUGUUCGCCAUUUAAAGUGGUACGCGAGCUGGGUUUAGAACGUCGUGAGACAGUUCGGUCCCUAUCUGCCGUGGGCGCUGGAGAACUGAGGGGGGCUGCUCCUAGUACGAGAGGACCGGAGUGGACGCAUCACUGGUGUUCGGGUUGUCAUGCCAAUGGCACUGCCCGGUAGCUAAAUGCGGAAGAGAUAAGUGCUGAAAGCAUCUAAGCACGAAACUUGCCCCGAGAUGAGUUCUCCCUGACUCCUUGAGAGUCCUGAAGGAACGUUGAAGACGACGACGUUGAUAGGCCGG
rnacentral:rRNA from 1 species